rnacentral:rRNA from 1 species
UACGUAGGGUGCGAGCGUUGUCCGGAAUUACUGGGCGUAAAGAGCUCGUAGGUGGUUUGUCGCGUUGUUCGUGAAAACCUGAGGCUUAACCUUGGGCGUGCGGGCGAUACGGGCAGACUGGAGUACUGCAGGGGAGACUGGAAUUCCUGGUGUAGCGGUGGAAUGCGCAGAUAUCAGGAGGAACACCGGUGGCGAAGGCGGGUCUCUGGGCAACAACUGACGCUGAGGAGCGAAAGCGUGGGGAGCGAACAGG